rnacentral:tRNA from 1 species
GUAGUGGUGGUUCAGUGGUAGAAUUAUUGCCUCUCAUGCCGGAGGCCUGGGUUCGAUUCCCAGCCAAUGUG